UACGUAGGGGGCAAGCGUUGUCCGGAAUCAUUGGGCGUAAAGCGCGUGUAGGCGGCCCGAUAAGUCCGCUGUGAAAGUCCAGGGCUCAACCCUGGAAUGCCGGUGGAUACUGUCGGGCUCGAGUCCGGAAGAGGCGAGUGGAAUUCCCGUGUGAGCGGUGAAAUGCGCAGAUAUCAGGAGGAACACCAGUGGCGAAGGCGGUCU
rnacentral:rRNA from 1 species